rnacentral:rRNA from 1 species
GACGUACGCUGGCGGCGUGCUUAACACAUGCAAGUCGAACGGAAAGGCCCUGCUUUUGUGGGGUGCUCGAGUGGCGAACGGGUGAGUAACACGUGAGUAACCUGCCCUUGACUUUGGGAUAACUUCAGGAAACUGGGGCUAAUACCGGAUAGGAGCUCCUGCUGCAUGGUGGGGGUUGGAAAGUUUCGGCGGUUGGGGAUGGACUCGCGGCUUAUCAGCUUGUUGGUGGGGUAGUGGCUUACCAAGGCUUUGACGGGUAGCCGGCCUGAGAGGGUGACCGGCCACAUUGGGACUGAGAUACGGCCCAGACUCCUACGGGAGGCAGCAGUGGGGAAUAUUGCACAAUGGGCGGAAGCCUGAUGCAGCAACGCCGCGUGCGGGAUGACGGCCUUCGGGUUGUAAACCGCUUUCGCCUGUGACGAAGCGUGAGUGACGGUAAUGGGUAAAGAAGCAUCGGCUAACUACGUG